rnacentral:rRNA from 1 species
GACGGAGGAUGCAAGUGUUAUCCGGAAUCACUGGGCGUAAAGCGUCUGUAGGUGGUUUAAUAAGUCAACUGUUAAAUCUUGAGGCUCAACCUCAAAAUCGCAGUCGAAACUAUUAGGCUAGAGUAUAGUAGGGGUAAAGGGAAUUUCCAGUGGAGCGGUGAAAUGCGUAGAGAUUGGAAAGAACACCGAUGGCGAAGGCACUUUACUGGGCUAUUACUAACACUCAGAGACGAAAGCUAGGUAGCAAUGGG